rnacentral:lncRNA from 1 species
AAAAAUGUGAAUGUGAGGACGGUGGGACCAUCCUGGCACACUGAGCAGCAGGGACCUCCGAGCCCUCAGAUGUCAUCCAGCCAGGUGUGUGGGGGCCACUCGCCAUGCACAGCUUCUCUCAGCAGAGGCUGACCAGAAUGGUGGUGAUAUGAAGAGUUGGGGAAUUCGACUUGAAUACAAAACAUAACACUGCUUUCACUUAAAAAGGUUGGUGAACCAUACUCCAACAGAAAGGGGACAUAAGACU